rnacentral:lncRNA from 10 species
UUUAGGUGUCAAAAAAAUUCUUCAAUAAAUUCCAUAGAUACUUUUCUAAAUGAAGAUUUGUGGAGCACAUGAGAAGUGUCAGGCAUGGUGCAACGUGUGAGAGAUCCUGUUUCCCCAAAGCCUUGGAAUAAAACAUUAUCAAACUUUUGGAUCUUUCUAAUUUCAUCAGUGAAACAUGACAGGGUCGCCCAGGCUGGAGCGUAGUGGCUCGAACACAGCUCACUUGAAGCUUCAACCUCCCGGGCUCAAGUGAUCCUCCCACCUGUCUCCUGAGUAGCUGCAACUACAGGCAUGUGCCAAGACGUCUGGCUAAUUUUUAAAUUUUUUGUAGGGAUGGGGUCUUGCUGUGUUGCCCAGACUGGUCUCAAACUCCUGGGCUCAAGUGAUCCCCCAACCCUUGGCCUCCCAAAGUGCUAAGAUUACAGUUGUGAGCCACUGUGCCUGGCCUUAAGUCUUCUUUUAGUCAUUCACUGCUGUUUGGGAUUUUUUUCACAUAGAUAUUUUACUUUCUUCUUUUAUUUGAUGUUUAUUAUCUAAAGAUAAUAAUGGAUUUUGUAAGUUAUACCCUGUUGUUUUUAUGAAUGAUAUUGAUUUAUAUAUGGGAAUUUUGCAUCCACGAACUUACAACAGUUUUUCCUUGUUUCUAAUUCUUUUAAAAUAGACUCUAUUGCAUUUCAAGGAAUUCAUCAAAUUAUCUGCAAAUGGUCAUGGUCAGAACUCCUCACUAAUUUUUACCUCCAAUUUAAAAAUUACUGGUUUCCUAUCUAAUUGCGCUGACCAGUGCCUCCAGAUCAGCACUAAAUGAUAGUAGUGAUAGUGGACAUCCAUGCCUGGUGUAAAUAAAUGAGUCCGUGAAGGCAAAGAUGCUAUUAUGGGAAAGACUGAUGAUGAGACUAUCUUCUUCUAAAUACAAAAUGAGUUUUCAAUGCUCUAACAACAUGAAGCAUCCUUAAAGACUAAACUAUGGCAAGGAUAUUUAAUUUACUUCCAUAUUUUUUUAUUAGUAAAAUGCAUUUACUUUUUACAGGCAAGUAUGAACCACUUUGAGGUUUU